GAUGAACGCUGGCGGCGUGCCUAAUACAUGCAAGUCGAGCGAAUGGAUUAAGAGCUUGCUCUUAUGAAGUUAGCGGCGGACGGGUGAGUAACACGUGGGUAACCUGCCCAUAAGACUGGGAUAACUCCGGGAAACCGGGGCUAAUACCGGAUAACAUUUUGAACCGCAUGGUUCGAAAUUGAAAGGCGGCUUCGGCUGUCACUUAUGGAUGGACCCGCGUCGCAUUAGCUAGUUGGUGAGGUAACGGCUCACCAAGGCAACGAUGCGUAGCCGACGUGAGAGGGUGUUCGGCCACACUGGGACUGAGACACGGCCCAGACUCCUACUGGAGGCAGCAGUAGGGAAUCUUCCGCAAUGGACGAAAGUCUGACGGAGCAACGCCGCGUGAGUGAUGAAGGCUUUCGGGUCGUAAAACUCUGUUGUUAGGGAAGAACAAGUGCUAGUUGAAUAAGCUGGCACCUUGACGGUACCUAACCAGAAAGCCACGGCUAACUACGUGCCAGCAGCCGCGGUAA
rnacentral:rRNA from 1 species